UAAGGGAUAUUGCACAAUGGGGGAAACCCUGAUGCAGCAACGCCGCGUGGGUGAAGAAGGCUUUCGAGUCGUAAAACCCUUUUCUAGGGGAAGAGGAAGGACAGUACCCUAGGAACAAGUCCCCGCUAACUACGUGCCAGCAGCCGCGGUAAGACGUAGGAGGCGAGCGUUAUCCGGAUUCAUUGGGCGUAAAGGGCAAGUAGGCGGUUGUCAAAGUUGGGCGUGACAUCUCCUGGCUCAACUAGGAGAGGUCGUUCAAAACUAGGCAACUAGAGGGCAGAAGAGGAAAGCGGAACUCCUGAUGUAGCGGUGGAAUGCUCAGAUAUCAGGAAGAACACCAGUGGCGAAGGCGGCUUUCUGGUCUGCACCUGACGCUGAGAGGCGAAGGCCAGGGUAGCGAACGGG
rnacentral:rRNA from 2 species